rnacentral:lncRNA from 1 species
UAAUUCAGAGUUGUGGCUUGGGCAAUGCCAAGAACCACAUCUGCACUGAAAUCAAUUAUCUGUUGGGCUACCGAUGUGCAGAACAAGCUCCCAAUCAGCCACGUGACCGCAAAGAUGACUUCCACUAACAUAGAUGGAGGAUGUGUAGCUCAUUUCAGUGGGACAUCCAGAGUCCUGUCUACAGUGGUUGGAGUUCUGGCUUAAAUUCAAGCAGCUGAAAACACAAGAAAUAAGAAGACCGUUUGAGAAGAGCAGAUAGUUGCCUUAAGAAAAUUCCUGUCAUAUGCACUCUGGGAUUUGGACUCAAAUCCUAAUUAUACAGUAAGAAAUAGUUGUACCGUGGACUAAGCAACACUGUUGCUUCAUGUAGAAUUUUGAGAGACUGCCUCAAGGAACUUGAGCCAUCCAGGAUCUUGCCAUCGGACAAGAUAUCAAUUUCCUUUGAAGGUACUUCUGGUCCGGCAAGUGCUAACUGAAUCACCUUGGUACUUGACAUCGAUGACUGUCAGCAUAAUAAAUGUCUGGUAAGAGUUUAUCUGGUUCAGUUCUUCUGGACUGGAGUGGAACCAUCUUCCAACUCCAUUGUUUGAAUCUCUGGCACCCCAGAGAUGAAGAACAGGGAAUUCUAUACUGUACUCUCAGAGCUUCUGUCUACAGACCAUUUAUGAUUCCACACCCACAAGAUGAUGAUUUCAGGAUGCAGUUUCAUGUGUAAGCCUGCCCCACCUGCACAGCUGAAUUGUAUUCUGUGUAUUCUGUGUGUGGAUGUUCCAAGUUGUAUACGGUAGAGUUGUCUCUGAGACAUAAAGACCAAUGUUCAAGGACCAGAGAGAGUCUUCAGGAACUAAGGGUAGUCUCCAGAUGACAUCCAGCAAGGAACUGGUUUCUGCCAACAACCUGAGUGAGCUUGGUAGGAGAGUCUCCCCUAGGGCCUCUAUACAACCUGACCUGCCAACACCUUGGUUUUGGUCCUGGGAGGCUCUCAGCAGAGAACCAGCUCAGUAACACUGUGCUGGGAUGUCUGGGCCUUUCCUAAGUGGAAGAUUCUUAAUUUGUGCUGAUGAAAGCCACCCAUUUUGUGGUGUUUGGCUCAUAUUGCUGUCUGAAGGCUUUCUUUGUCUUCUCCUGCCCCCUUCAUUUUCACAGGCAUCACCUCCACCUCUUGCAAUUAAGAAAAAAAAUACUUGAGAGAAGUAAGGUUGCAUGAUGAGAGUGCCUUGAUUUCUUAAGAAGCAACACUUUCACAUCAUAAGGGUGCCUGCCCCAGUGUCCUGUUAGAUAGUGAACUGGAGUCUCUAUACUGCCUGUGUGCAGUGAGGAAGAAAUGAGACGUCUUCCUGUUGUGUUUCAGGAAACAAACAGAACACCUUUGUUGUAAGAAAGAAGUUGGAAGAGACCAUUAAUUAUUUAAUUAUUUUUCUUAUCAUCUUCCAUUGCUUUAUUAUCCUUAUCUUUCAAUUCAUAUUUUAUGUGUUUUUUUGAAGUAUAGUUGAUGCACAUGACUAUAAUAAUUAAACAUGUAAAAUAUAAGGAUUCACAUUUUAAGUUACAUUCUGUUUAUACUUAUAAAAUAUCAGAUAUAUUCCUUGUUGUCACAAAAUAUAUGCUUGUCCCUUAUUUUAUACAUAAUAGUUUGUGGCUCUUAAUCUCUCUCCCUGUAUUACCUCUCCCCCUUCCCUCUCCCCACUGGUAGCCACUAGUUUUAUCUGUAUAUCUGUGAUUCUGUUUCUUGUUAUAUUCAUUAGUUUGUUGUAGAUUUUUUUAGAUUCCACAUAGAAGUGAUAUCAUACAGUAUUUGUCUUUCUCUGUCUGACUUAUUUUAUGUAGCAUAAUAUCCCUUGUGUCCAUCCAUGUUGUGCAAUGUUAUCCAUUCACCUAUGGAUGGACACUUAGGUUGCUUUGAUAUCUUGGCUAUUGUAAAUAAAGCUGCUGUGAACCCUAGAUUGCAUGUAUCUUUUCAAGUUGUUGUUUUUGGUGUAUUUUGGAUGCAUACCCAUCAGUAGAAUUGCUGGUCUUUUGGUAGUUCUAGUUUUAGUUUUUGUAGAAACCUCAGAAAUGAUCUCCAGGGUGGCUGUAUCAGUUUCCAUCCAGAUCAAUGCUGUACAAGAGUCCCCUUUUCUCCACAUCCUUGCCAGCAUUUGCUAUUUGUGUUCUUUUUGAUGAGAGCCAUUCUGACAGGUAUGAGUUUGUUUCUCAUUGUGGUUUUGAUUUGCAUUUCCCUAGAGACUAGUGAUGUUGAGCCUUUUUUCAUGUGCUUGUUUGGCCAUUUGCAUGUCCUCUUUGGAAAAAUGUCUGUUCAGGUCUAAAAAUAUGGAACGCUUCAUGAAUUUGUGUGCCAUUCUUGUGCAGGGGCCAUGCUAAUCUUCUCUGUAUCAUUCCAAUUUUAGUAUAUGGCUGCCAAAGUGAGCACCCAGUUUAUAUUUUAAAUUUAUAAAUUGAUAGUGUGGUAUCAGAGUGUUCUAAAAGGCUUCUUAAUAAAAUGUACCAUAGAAGAGCCUUAACACACCAUAAUCCCACUGUUCCCAUUUUACAGAUAGGGAAAUACAGGCCUAUAGGCCUGAAAUACUUCCCAGAAAGUCAUAGGACUUGGUAAUUAGUGGCAGAGCCAGAAAUGCAUGAGAGGAGUGAGCAAAUGAAAACUAAUUUUACUCUAUAUUUACUCUUUAAAAAGUAGUUAUUAACUUUUAAAAAUAUAUGUAACAUAAUAUUAUUUUUAAAUUUUUUUAAAUAAAUAUUGGGUAUCAGUUAAACAUUUGAUCUACGAAUGCUAAAACAUAGCCUGUCUUCUUAACUUUACCUCCAAAAAGGUGACUUUAUUAUGGGCAAGGAAUAUAAAAUGAAGUUAAAGAUGACAUUAGAGCCAAGAGAGCAUUUAAAGCUGAAGGGAAACUGGUCAUGAUUUAACUUGAAGAUAGUAAAGUAUAGGCACAGAAAUUGAGUAAUCAGAUGUACCCACCUUCAAGGAAGUAAACAAAUUUUGUAAUAAAAGAGUAUUUCCUCUACUAGUGAAUAUAAAACAAUUUGUAACCUACUUUAUGUUACUAUAAUAGGAGCAUCUAAUGAUAGUUCCAUUUCAUUUUCAUACUCUCUUUUAUCUCAAAACCUCCCCAGGAUACCUAGAAAUAUUAAUUUAUUAAGUCAUUCAAAAUUACAUUCAAUCAGAUAAGGAUAGACAAGAUCACCUCACUCUACUCACAUUUUUAAUGGGCUCAUCCCACUAAAUUGAGACUCACUAAUCUACUCUCCACAUUUCACAACCAUAUCGAGAUUUUUUUUUUAAUUAUUUUUGGCAAUGCCCAUGAUAUGCAAAAGUUCCUGGGCCAAGACUCUAGCCCAAGCUACAGCAGUGACAAUGACAGAUCCUUAACCACUAGGCUACCAGGAAACUCCUGAUGUCUAUAUUUUAGAAAGCUCUUCAGUUAUGUAGAGAGGUCCUUUAUAAAAUUAGAUAAAAAGAAUCACAAUGUUUGUAUAUAUUUCACAUGGAAUGUAAGCAUGAUUUGAUCAGAAGCCUUUUUUUUUUUUUUUUCUUAGCAAGCAUACAGCUAUAGCCAUUGCAGAAUUAUCUCUAUUUCUGGCUUUCUCUCUGUGUCUUCAAGCUGAUGCCACUGUUUCACUGUUUCAUACAGAAAGCUCAUCUCCAAUCACUGUAUCUGUGCUAGUUAGAGCCAGGGGUUACCAACUCUCAGUGGGAUAUAUUCGUACUGGAAUUAUUAAUAAUGUCCACCUCCUUCCUAACCUUUCUCAUUUCUGAUAUACAAUACUCAUCUUUCUGAGCAAGUGAGUUAACCCAGUACAGACAGUUUUAUCAUCUAGUUCUGGUGAUGUUCAUUUUUGGUUUUGUUGCUUAGGUUUACAAAGACAAUGAAAGCAGUUUUAAAGAGCAUGGAUAUAAUAUCAAUGGCACAUUUAUCUCAGCUACACAAUGGUCUGGAUUUAACAAUGACUGUAAACGUUUCAAGGGUUUGGGGCUGGCUGACAUGCUGAUGUUACACUUUGGUAGCUAGUUUUCUGAGUAAUAUGCCCUUAGGCAAGAAGUGGUCCAGAAGUAUACAUGAGAUAUCUAUAAAUUGAAUAGUGAAAACUAUUCUCAUAGGUGAUUGACUUACAAUAUCCAGAUAUCUAAAUUUGGUUCAUAUCUGAAACAUUUUCCAUAACAUCUUCUUAUAUGUGCUACAUCAAAUUGGAUUAUUGGUAAAGUUUCAAAACACUUAGUCUUGAAUUUUGUUCUUAGAAAUUGAAGAUGAGGGAGUUCCCAUCGUGGCUCAGUGGUUAACGAAUCUGACUAAGAACCAUGAGGUUGGGGGUUCGAUCCCUGGCCUUGCUCAGUGGGUUAAGGAUCUGGCGUUGCCGUGAGCUGUGGUGUAGGUUGCAGACGUGGCUCGGAUCCUAUGUUGAUAUGGCUCUGGCGUAGGCCGGUGGCUGCAGCUCCGAUUCGACCCCUAGCCUGGGAACCUCCAUAUGCCAUGAGAGUAGCCCAAGAAAUGAC